UCUUAUUUAGGAUUCUGGGCAAAGAAGAACAAAAAGGAGGUGUUUUCGUUAGGUCGUCUCCUCUCCGCUCUUCUUUCUCCGAAGCUCUCUUCGUCUCGUCUCCACUCUGGUCUUCUCUCUCAAGCUCUGUUCGUCUCGUCUUUGGCCAAGAAAAAAAUGAAGCUCUAUUCGAAUCGCCUCCCCUCCACAACUCCCUGUCGAUUUUAUGUUCCUCCACGACCUCCUCGUGUACGCCCUCAACAACCCGUGGGAGGAGUUCUUGCUGGUUGCCAGAGCCUCCACCAGCAGGAACCUCGGCAUCUUCUGCUUCAACGAAGACGACGCUUAAGCCCUGCUGUGCCAGGUUUUCACGGUCCACCCUCGCCUGCGUGACAGCUCCAAAGUUGUUCCCGUUGCACUCAACAAGGUUCCCUAAGUUGCUCCUCUCUUCUCUCUCUCUCUCUCUCAGUAAUUUGAUUCACCUUAUGGUGUUUUAUUGAUCCACUUUAUUGAAUUGCUUGGUAAUGACUUUUAUUGCUUUUUUGAAUUGACGUGACAUUUGGCAAUGUCCAAGUAUGAUUAUGAUUAUAUGGACGCUCAUGUACUUGUAUUCAUGGAUAUCAGAGAUGAUUGAACCUAUUCUUGAUUAUUGUUUCUGGUCAUAAUAUUUGAGCUAUAUCUAGAAUGGCUAUGUAUGUGUAUGUGGAUGAGCUUCAUCAUGAAUGAAUUUGGGUAAUGUUUCCUCUAUUGUCUUUGCUACAAGAAAUGCUACUAUCCCAUUGGUCAUAUUUUACUCAAGCUCUAUGUUUCAAUUCAUCAAAAUUUAUGAUAAAUUAAGAAACAGGUUGCUUUAAUUCAUCCCGGCUGCUGUUUUCUCGUUAUUGCAUGUGGCAAGUGAAAUUUCAUUGCGAAGAGAUGGCAGCGACGACAGAAAUGUCAAUGUCUUUGUUCAAAGGAGAUUGAUGAAGGGAGGGAGUAUGCAGAGUUUAUGCAUUUUCCAAGGAAGAAGUUUACUGAGUUUGGUAAUUCUGCAAUACGAACUAUUUGUUCCUUUUCAAUAGUCAGUCUUUUUUCUUUCUCAUUUUCCCGUCAUGUCAUGUAUGUAUUGUACUUAAUCUGAUAAAUGUUGCUUACGAUUAUUUUGUAAUAACUAAGUGAUAACCUGUUCUAAUAAUAAUAAUAACAACCAAGAAUUCUCAAACUCUAUUGUUAACCUGUAUAGUCCUACAAGUUUAGAAGUUAAGUUUCCCAGAUUCAUUCAAAAAUAAACUCUUUAGUGGAUACUAAUUUUCCUUUUCUUUAGUUACUGUUUGGCAAGAGAUCUCUGAUGAGACUGACAGAGAAACUGGUCGCUCCAAGGGCAUUUCUUCUGUUCCUAUCCAUCUUAGUAUCUACUCCCCUCAUGGUUAUUAUAGAGGGUCAACCAGAUAGCAUUGUGCAAGACAUUCUACCAAGCACUCCCUCCUGCUUUGGCAAUUGAAUUAUGCUAGAUGAUUUUAAAGGAAAGAGGAGAUAUGUCAUGGUGCUGAUAGUUUGUGAAAGCACUGCUGAGGGAAUGUAGAAUUUGCUUAUUACAUUCAAAUCUGCAUGAUUGAACUAUGCUGGAUAAUUUUGAAUUUCUUUAGGGUGUAUGCAAUAUGCUUUUUAAUUUGUAAUCUGUCCAUAAAUAUCCAUUUUUACUUCUUGUUUUGAAUACUAAGGUGCCUUGAAAAUUUUAUAUAUUGUGAAUUUUAUAAUGGACAAAAGGUUCUUUUCG